rnacentral:rRNA from 1 species
AUACGGAGGGUGCAAGCGUUAUCCGGAAUCAUUGGGUUUAAAGGGUCCGCAGGCGGAUUAAUAAGUCAGUGGUGAAAUCCUCUCGCUCAACGAGAGAACUGCCAUUGAAACUGUUAGUCUUGAAUUCGGUCGAAGUAGGCGGAAUGUGUCAUGUAGCGGUGAAAUGCAUAGAUAUGACACAGAACACCGAUAGCGAAGGCAGCUUACUAGACCUGGAUUGACGCUCAUGGACGAAAGCGAGGGGAGCGAACAGGAUUAGAAACCCUGGUAGUCC